ACUGAACGCUGGCGGCAUGCCUUACACAUGCAAGUCGAACGGUAACGGGCCUUCGGGUGCCGACGAGUGGCGAACGGGUGAGUAAUGUAUCGGAACGUACCUUUCAGUGGGGGAUAACGUAGCGAAAGUUACGCUAAUACCGCAUAUUCUGUGAGCAGGAAAGCAGGGGAUCGCAAGACCUUGCGCUGAUUGAGCGGCCGAUAUCAGAUUAGCUAGUUGGUGAGGUAAAGGCUCAACAAGGCGACGAUCUGUAGCGGGUCUGAGAGGAUGAUCCGCCACACUGGAACGGGGAAACGGUCCAGACUCCUACGGGAGGCAGCAUUGGGGAAUUUUGGACAAUGGGGGCAACCCUGAUUCAGCCAUGCCGCGUGAGUAAAGAAGGCCUUCGGGUUGUAAAGCUCUUUCGGCCGGGAAGAAAUCGUAUGGGUUAAUACCCUGUGCGGAUGACGGUACCGGCAUAAGAAGCACCGGCUAACUACGUGCCAGCCGCCGCCGUAAAAC
rnacentral:rRNA from 1 species